ACGCACGCUGGCGGCGUGCCUAAUCCCUGCCAGUCGAGCGAGCGGAACUAACAGAUUUACUUCGGUAAUGACGUUAGGAAAGCGAGCGGCGGAUGGGUGAGUAACACGUGGGGAACCUGCCCCAUAGUCUGGGAUACCACUUGGAAACAGGUGCUAAUACCGGAUAAGAAAGCAGAUCGCAUGAUCAGCUUUUAAAAGGCGGCGUAAGCUGUCGCUAUGGGAUGGCCCCGCGGUGCAUUAGCUAGUUGGUAAGGUAAAGGCUUACCAAGGCGAUGAUGCAUAGCCGAGUCGAGAGACUGAUCGGCCACAUUGGGACUGAGACACGGCCCAAACUCCUACGGGAGGCAGCAGUAGGGAAUCUUCCACAAUGGACGCAAGUCUGAUGGAGCAACGCCGCGUGAGUGAAGAAGGUUUUCGGAUCGUAAAGCUCUGUUGUUGGUGAAGAAGGAUAGAGGUAGUAACUGGCCUUUAUUUGACGGUAAUCAACCAGAAAGUCACGGCUAACUACGUG
rnacentral:rRNA from 1 species